AUUGAACGCUGGCGGCAGGCCUAACACAUGCAAGUCGAGCGAGAGGCGGACGGGUGAGUAAUGUCUGGGGAUCUGCCUGAUAGAGGGGGAUAACUACUGGAAACGGUGGCUAAUACCGCAUACUAUCGGAUGAACCCAUAUGGGAUUAGCUAGUAGGUGGGGUAAAGGCUCACCUAGGCGACGAUCCCUAGCUGGUCUGAGAGGAUGAUCAGCCACACUGGAACUGAGACACGGCCCAGACUCCUACGGGAGGCAGCAGUGGGGAAUAUUGCACAAUGGGCGCAAGCCUGAUGCAGCCAUGCCGCGUGUAUGAAGAAGGCCUUAGGGUUGUAAAGUACUUUCAGCGGGGAGGCGUUACCCGCAGAAGAAGCACCGGCUAACUCCGUGCCAGCAGCCGCGGUAAUUC
rnacentral:rRNA from 1 species